CAGGGAAUCUUGCACAAUGGGCGAAAGCCUGAUGCAGCGACGCCGCGUGGGGGAUGAAGGCCCUAGGGUCGUAAACCCCUUUCAGCAGGGACGAAACUGACGGUACCUGCAGAAGAAGGCCCGGCCAACUACGUGCCAGCAGCCGCGGUAAGACGUAGGGGCCAAGCGUUGUCCGGAAUUAUUGGGCGUAAAGAGCUCGUAGGCGGUUGCGUAAGUCGGAUGUGAAAGCUCAGGGCUCAACCCUGAGACGCCAUCCGAUACUGCGCUGACUUGAAUCCAGUAGGGGAGUGUGGAAUUCCUGGUGUAGCGGUGAAAUGCGCAGAUAUCAGGAGGAACACCUAUGGCGAAGGCAGCACUCUGGGCUGGUAUUGACGCUGAGGAGCGAAAGCAUGGGUAGCAAACAGGAUUAGAUACCCCCGUAGUCC
rnacentral:rRNA from 1 species